rnacentral:misc_RNA from 1 species
GAUGAAGAACGCUGCGAAAUGCGAUAAGUAGUGUGAAUUGCAGAAUUCAGUGAAUCAUCGAAUCUUUGAACGCACAUUGCGCCCCUUGGUAUUCCAUGGGGCAUGCCUGUUCGAGCGUCAUUUGUACCUUCAAGCUUUGCUUGGUGUUGGGUGUUUGUCCCUCGGGACUCGCCUUAAAGUCAUUGGCAGCCAGUGUUUUGGUUUUGAAGCGCAGCACAAGUCGCGAUUCAAGGCUAUCCGCCCGCUUCCACAAGCCUUUUUCACUUUUGACCUCGGAUCAGGUAGGGAUACCCGCUGAACUUAAGCAUAUCAAUAAGCGGAGGA